rnacentral:sRNA from 1 species
AUGAAGGAAAAUGAAACUCAUUGCUGUGCUUUGGUCAAGGAAGCUUUUCUAGGAACGAAGGGCUAUGUGGGUCGAGUCCUUGCCUGCUUGUUCGUUCACCAAUACAUCUCCAGUGACUGCAUUGGCUCAGAUGGUGCCAUUGAACCCGAGCUCGUUACCAGAAGCGCCUGUAAUUAGUCAAGCAAAAGGAAAAUUGCCUUCGAAGAAAGGGUUAAGUACUAGUGUGAUUGUGGCUGUUGUGAUAGUUGGCCUGUUGUGAUAGUUGGCCUGUUGUGAAAUUGUUGACAUUGUUAUAGAUUAAAAAUAAUUUCAUUGAGUCAUUUGGUUGGUGCGUUGUUCCUCCACUUUGUUCUCAUUGAAGUUCAUGAGCAGUGAAAAACCCUAGCUUUUUCAUUCUUGUUAUAUUUGUUUUAAUUAGCCUAAAAAUGUGUGUUUCUAAUGGCAAAUGGAGAGGUGGGUUAUGGAAGGCUAACAGAACAAAUCUCAGGUGGGCAAAGUGUAAAGUUUUAAACCACUAGUAAGCAAAGUGCAAACGGGCCAAACCUAAAGCAAGUUUACUGUAAUUAUCCCUUUUUUAAUUCAAGAAAUCAUAUUAAAAAAACUAUGGCAAUCCUUAAUCUAUCGAGGUGUUUUUGUAUGUUUAAAAAACAAGUAAGAAUGUAUGUUGUGGACGUAGCAUUCUCUUUGAUUAUUUGUGGAUAAUUAUGCAAUCAGCAGGAUUCACAGUUUGAACUUGACCAUAUGACACUAUCUCUGCUCUUCCUGUGCUAAUACUCAACAUUAAAUUGGAAACGAUUGUCAAAAAAGAAAAAAAAAAAAUUAACUGAAAAUGGUUUCAAAAUUUAUAGUUUAGACUUCAUAAUUUUUCUUUGACCUAAAACAUACAUGUUAACAAAAUUGGUAUUUCACCAUUUAUUAUUUAUCAAAUGUUGAAUUGAUGACCUUUGUAUAAAUUGGGAAGAUUUUUUUUUUUUUUUUUCUAGAUUUGUGGUUUAAAAACAGGUCUGUGCUUUCUAUAAGGAAUUGAGGAGGAUUUUGCCCGAACAAUUGAUAUAGAAUGUGAUGGUUUUUUUUUUUUUUUUUUUUUUUUUUAGAGAAAGUAGAAUGUGAUGGUUGGAAGUUGAAACUGGCAUUGUAUUAAUAUACAAAUUUUAAAAGGAAUAACUGUUUAAGAAAAUGAGUUGUCUAAUCGCUUUAUAGUUUAUAUUAUUAGAAUAAAAUAAAAAACCCUCAAAAUCUUAAUAUAAAAAAUGUCAAUAAAUUAAAUUUGCAAUCUGUUACCGUAUAAAGUCAUUACUUUGUACUCAACUAUUUACUUCAUGUGUUUAUAACCUCAGUCUACAACUACAAAUGUUAGGCCCUUUUAUAGUUGUACUCUGAUUAAAUAAUGUAUUAUAAACCCGAUUUAAAACAUUAAUAUUACUAUUUUCGUACGUGUUCUAAUAAGUAUUACUGUUUAAUAAAUAAAAAGCCUAUUAACUUCAUGCAUUUUUUUUCUUUUCAUAAAACUUUUUUCAAAAAUUACAUGAUUCAACCGUUUACCAAACCUAUUGACAUCAUAUUGGAAAGCACAUUAAUUAAUGUAAUAAGAUAAACAUCCUCACAUGGUAUACAUUGACUAUAAAGGAAAUUACUAAAGUACUUAAUUAUAAAAACCAUGCCAAGUAUUAAAAUUUUAAAAAUUUGUAGGCCCGGUUUUUGUUUGGAUUUUCACCACUGCAACCUCUCUUUCUUUGAUGUCUUCUUUAAUUUUCGUUUUAAUUUCUCCUUCUCAAUUGCAAAUCAAGUAAAAUAAGGAAAACUCAAAAUAUAAAACGAGCCCAGUCCAUCUUGGUUACUAAAGAACUUGAGAUAGAGAAUUAAAGAUGGACCCUUCUUCAUUAUAAAACGAGGUCCAUUUUGUAAAACUUGACCAAACUGUGAGUUACAAAAUUAAUAUAUCUUGGACCACAAACAAAAUCCCAGCAAAGAAUUGAAAGUUCAAUAUGGGUAUGAAACACCCUUGAACGUUUAGACCCCAAAUUAUAAAAAUAUCAAUUCAAGCUUAUAAUCAAACAAUUAAAGUGCGGAACAUGAACAUAAGUCAAUCACUGAAUAAGUAACUAAUUUAAGCCAAAUAUAAACACAUCCACAACAGUAAAUAUAAGGCAAAGAUAAAGGGAAGACAGAUGCAAACACAAAGACAACACGCAAUGUGUUAUUGAAGAGGAAAUCGAAGCCCUCGGCGUAAAACCUCUCCGCCGCCCUCCAAGCGGUCAAUAAUCCACUAAAAAAUGUAGUUGGGAUACAUGAACAGCAAUAGACCCUCCAAGCCUAAUCUACCCAGGUACCUAAGCCCUCCAAGCUUCUUGCUCCAACGAGGUUGCGCCGAACGUUUUUCUUUUCUAGCUUAUCGGAUUCCGCUACUUGACCAUAGCAUCAACCAAUGUAUAUUGGUUCCUUCCAAAUUGCUUCCCUCAGCACCAAAUAAACAUUCUUACAAACGUAGGUGUGGUGAGAUAAAGAUUUGGUAAAAGACCUCUCAAGGGUAUGACAAUGGAGAGGAAGAGAGUAGAGGAAUUUGUAGAGUUUCUUAUAUGAAGAUUGGGGAUGAGGCAAUCUUGUUUUUCUCUAGGGUUUUCUCUCACAAAAUUCUCUCUGGAAGCUCUCUCAAUUUAGUGGGUAUAAGAGUCUAUAUAUAGUGAGGUGAGAUGAGAAUACGAAGAGACAGAUUUUUGCCAAACAGGGUAAAUUGGCGGCUUGGUCUCGCGGCUUGUCCAAGUCGCUAAAUCAAGUCGCGACGUAACGGUCUGGCCAGCCUGGGACUUUUGUCCUGUAGUGCGACAGCUGGCGCAACCCUUCAGCUUCCCUGCGUGCAUCUCAAGUGCCUAAAGUUAGAGACUUGCAGCCGCGAGCCACCCAGGAGUCCUAGCCGUGAAACUUUGCUUCUUUGCACAUACUUGAGCUUUUGUUCACAUCUUCUCACACACUACCCUUACAAUAAUCCCACCUAAAUACAGGAUUACUAAGUGCUUGAAUUACAAGCAAAUUGGUACGGAAUAAAGCCAACAAGAUGGUUGAUAAAUUUCAACCUUACAAGAAUUCAUUUGCAAACACAUACAAUGAAUCAACUUCUUGGGCUGAUAGCGAGGUAGAAGGUCUUGAUCAAAAUGUACCUGUCUUUCCUAAAACACUCAAAAGAACACAUCAACGCAUGUGUGGAAAGAAAGACAUAUAAACAAUAAUAUGAAACAUAAUAUAAAAACAAAAGUAAAUUCUAGCUCUCCCCCUAAGUUAGAUACAUCAAAAAGUUUUAAUAUUCUCCUCCUUUCAAAAACAAUUUUAUCUCCCCCUAAACAAAACUUUUUUAAAGAGAAUUCCCACAUUUCGUUUAUUUAUCCCCCUUUUUGUCAUGUAUUAACAAAGACAACUAAAACAAAGAGUAACCAGAAAACAUAAGCAAUGAAAGUUAAGAGAAAAUAAAGAAUCAAGGAAACAAAUAAAUUUGGCUCUAUAGAGAAUAGAGGCAACUCCCCCUAUGAAGAGCAACAACUCUCUCUAAGAACAAUAAAGGCUGAAAAAUACUUUUCUCCCCCUAGAAAAAUAGGAAAAACAAAACAUGUUUUGGGAAAAACAAUAUUGGGGAAAAUUUAGGAGAUGAGGAAAAACUACACAAACCAAACUUAAAAACUAAGUGAAGGAUACACAAAAAAAAAAAAAAAAAAAAAAAAAAAUCUCUCUUUCAAUAAAUGUAAACUUGACACUAUGUGACCCAUAAACAGAUGAUGUUUGAACUCAAAUCAAUAGAGAAAAUAUUUGAACAAUUAUUAUCCAUCAUAUCAAAAAAAAUAUUUUCCUCAGUUCACACAUAAAAAAUAGCAUAUACUAAAAUGUACAGAACUCAAAAAUUAAUCAAUCAAUUUUUAAAUCAAGUUAAGUACCCAAUUUAGCAAAAUGUAUGCAUGUUAUGUGUGAAAACAAUGAGAGAUAUGACUACAAAACUGCAAGAUGGAUACAAAAAAAAAAAAAAAAUGUAAUGCAUGUGAAUCCUAAACAUAAAUUAUGCAUGAAAAAAAAUUUGGUCAAAAACAAAAAAACUGAAAUUUUUUCAGUUUCGAUCAGUUGAGUAUCGAUUGAAUACCAAUCGAGUCAGGCAGAGAGCAAUGAUUAAAAAUCAAGAGAUUUUCGAUCGGUCGAAAAACACAUUCGAUCGAUCGAAAUUUUGGAAAUUUGAAUAUUUUUGAAAAACUGUAGAAGAUUAUGCAGAAAUAACUCAACCCAAUUAAUUUCAUGAAUAAAAUGCAUAAGAAUGAGUUUAAAAGUUUUUCAAAAAAUGAGUUUUCAACCCAAAACUUCAAAACAAGGUUUUUUUAAUAAUCAAAAACACAAUUUUUGCCAACCCUUAAAUAUAUUUUGCAUAAAACACUAUAGAAAACAUAAUCUUGGAUGGCCAACCCAAAUUCACACACAAUUUUAUGUACUAAGUUUAGCAAAGAAUAACUUAUGGAGUGUGUGCAACUAGUAACAGCAUGAGAUACAUGUGAAGUGAUAUGUAGCUAGUAAUCAAUCACAAUUUCUACAUUAUUCAUCACACAAAUUUGAAAGUGACUAUCACCUAAAGAGUUACAUCAUAUAACUCCCACAUCUCCUAAAAAACAAGCAUACAAUCAUGCUUUUUUUUUUUAGCCUUAUUAUAUACAGACUUUUUUUUAUUUCUUCCUUUUUUUUAAUUUUUUUUUUAAGGCUACACCUUAUUUUCUUUUUGUGCAUAUGCUGCACUUUCUCGAGCACAAAAUCUUAUGAUAUGCACUAAGGUGUUCAUGAUUGGCUAGUAAGCAGUGGUGUGAUGGUUAUUUAUGUCUUUCUCUUAGGAUUUUUUAGUCCUUACAAUCAAAAGCAUGUGACUUCAAAAUUAAGAUCAUGUGAUUAAAAAUUAUAAAUAACUCCCACACAACAUGCACUACAUAGCUAAAACUAGCAUGCUAAAUAAGGUACACAGACAUGUUAUGUAAAGAUAAUAUGGCCAACCUCAAUUACAUAUUUAUGAUGUGUAAUACAAAAGAAAUAAAAAUCUUUUUGGUUUCAAAAAAACUUUAUGACCAAAAAUAAAAUGUACACAUUAUGCUAAAUGAAUAAAAUGCAAAAAUAAUGCAUGACAGUGCUUAACUAAGCUAUAGAUGGUACACAAACAAGAAAUAUCAAUUUCUUAAUUAACCUUUGAGUACAUAUACAAACUAGUACAUACUCACACAAAAUCAAAAUUAGUUUAGCACUUAUAUAAUACAUACUAUUCAAGUUUCUCCACAAUGUCAAGCAUGUUCUAAAUUAAGAGAGAGAUAUUAUAACUUAUGUAAUCCUCGAAACAAAUAAAACAAGACACAAAAUAAAAUAUUUUUGUCUUUUCUUUAUAAAAAAAAAAUCGAAGUUUUUGGAUUUUUAAAUAAUCAAAACAACCUAAGAAAAUAAAACAACCAAAAACUAAAAGUAAACAUGUCCACAAAUAAUUGAUAGAAUUAAAUCAGGGAGAAGUCAACAAUACUCAUCUUAGAGAAUCUUUUCUCACCCAUAUAGCACGAGUCUUUGGCUUUGUAGGUGAAAAUCCAUGAGAAGCAAAGUGUAUUUGAGGGAUUACACCAAUCUUCUGAGAAAGACUGAAAUAAUGCAAAUUCCUUUCACAAGCCUUAAAAACAUCAACUGAAACAAUAGUGUCCUUUUUAUUCAAAACAUCACAAUUAAAAACAGUAAGACACUUAAAAUUAUCCAUGAUAACAGGGAUCAAAGAUCAACUCUAGGUAUAAUAAUCUAAAUCAAGAGCUAACCCCGCUCUGAUACCACUUGUAACGUUUUAGAUCCAUGUAAACUAGAUUGUUUAACCUAAUUAAUUAACCAAGUGAAUACUUAGGUUUAUUAUUUAGAUCUAGGUUAAAACAAAACAAUCAUAUCAUGCAAAGCAGUGUAAAAAUAAAUAACAAAACAAUACCUAGGAAAACCAAACCAGUAAAAAACCUGGGGAGGACUUAACCUAACUAUCUUCAAGGUAAAAAGCAAAUCCACCAUAGAGAAUCAAAGUUUAUAAUAAGACUUAGACGACUAAUAUCCUAUUUCUACCACAUGUAGAACUUAUUGAUACGACUACAUGCAAACUCCGAAUUCAUAGACUCCUUUUCUAUUAGGCCUUUGCAACACAAGCACCCACACUUGUGAUAAAGAAACACAAACUCUCCUGUUUAUGACUCCAAGACCAUCCUUGAAAGUUUAGAUCAUCAGCACCUUUGAUGACUAGAGAAGGCAGCAACUUCUACAACACCGGAUCUUGAGAUUCUUCAAAGAAUAACACCAGUAGAAGACAUAAGAGAGUUUUUUGGGUAUAAAACCCUAGAUACAAAAGAGGCAAACUCUUCUCUCUAAAAACCUUAUAAAAACGUGCUUAGGGUUUCCUUUAUAUACUAGUAGUGUUUUACUUGAAACCCAAUACGUUUAAAUAGAGUUUGGGCUGAAAUAUAAUUCUAUAGAUACGUGUUUCGAUCAAUCGAACUUGUUCUUCAAUCGAUCGAACCAAGCAGUUUAUGAACUCUUCUUACUACAGCUUGUAUAUUCUAGAAUCUUGAUUUGUAUUACCUUGAGCAUUGUCUAAUAAUACCUAUAAACUCUAAGAUCUAUAUGUAGACAAGUUUGUAUUCACGAUUUGCCAAUUGUUCUAAACUAUUAGAAUCUAACAUAGAUGACUGAUUCUCAAAAAAAAAAAAAAAAAAUUCUAGUUGACUUCUGCUAACCUCCAAGAAAACACUCAGCAAAAAGAAAUAUUACACCAUUUUAGUAGUCUUGAAUAUUUCUAGUCGGUAAAUGAACGAACCUCUCACUUUCUUCCCUAAUUGACUUCAGUUGAGUCUCUUGUUGGAGAGGUGUCUGGACACUAUUUUUUUUUUUUUUUUUUUUUUGGGUUAAAGUGUCUAGACACUUUGAAUGCAACAAAGAAGCAAAACAAUAAGAAAAUGACACCAUAUUUUUUAUAAUUGUUGACAUGUCCUAUUAUGAUUGAUAUAGCUGAUAUAUGGUAAAAGUGGUGUUAGAAUGAGAUAAGGUGGCAUCGCUAAUCACGAAUUCACAAUAAUAGACCAUGUUGAUAUUUAUAAGAAAAUUGUGACCCUAACAUUGCUUGAAGCAAAUGAAAGUCUCUUUCUUCAUUCGGACUUAAAUUUCCUUCAUUCCUGAUUCAAUUGCCUUUCAAAGGCUUUACCAUAUUUUUGGCCAUAUGGUACAAUACUAUAUCCAUAUAUAGCAACCUAAAUGUAAAAUAUAUUUCAUAUCCAUUGAUUUUUUUUUUUUUUGGGGUCAAAAACUAGUCUUUAGGAAAGACCUUUUAUUGGGUUUCUUUCACUUUUAACUAGACAUGGACUGACGAAAAAAGAAAAAGAAAAAGAAAGAAAGGAUAUGAAAUAUAUAGAUCCUUUUAUUUCUUAUAUGUAGUAGAUCAAGCUUUUGCUUCAAUCCAUAGAAGGUUUGAACAUUUUAUACCAAGGUUAUUUUUGGUUUUCUAUUUGAUUUCAAGAAAUUAAAAAUCACUAGACGAUGAUAGUUUAUUAAAAUAUUCUAUCAAUUAGAAUGUUUUUUUUUUCAAACAUGAUAUUUGUGUUGCUAUUAAUGGUUUAGAUUUCUUAUUAAAAAAAAAGUUAGGUUUAAUUUUAGAACUGAACAUUUUAAAAUAAGUUUACAAAUAGAGAAAAAUACUCCAAUUGAUAUAUUAAAUUAAAUAAAAAGAGUAUAUUUUUCUCCAAUUGCAUGUAUUUCUUACAUAAUUUAUCAGCAAUGCCUAUUAUAUACUUAUGCCCAAAAAAAAUAUCAAAAAAUUAAAAUUGAUAAAAUCCUAUCAAAGAUCACUACAUUACAAGAAAAUUAAGAUCAUUAGGUGGAUUAACUAUAAAAUCAAUUGAAAAGGAGAUUUUAGCAAAAUGAAUAUAAAAGCUAGUAAUUUUGUAAUUCAAAAGGCAAAAAUAAUAACUUUAAAUAAAAAAAAUUAUAGAAAAUUAGAUAAAUAUUGUACUAUUUAAUUGAUAUUUAAAUAUAACAAAAGCCCUCACUUAAAGCUAUUGCGAACAAUGUGGGUUAGAGUCCGAAAACGCUGCCCAUGAGCUUUGGAAUUGUUCCACAUUGGAUGAAAUCUGGGAAAGCAUUCCAAGCUUUGAAGAUCGAAGUCAACUUGGUGCUUCAAACAUCACGGACCUGAUCAACUUGAUUCAAGAGAAAAGGAAGAACGUGGACCUCAUGGCUAUGGUGAUGUGGACGAUAUGGCACUGGCGAAAUCAACUUCGAGUAAGCUCAAACGUCUUCCCCAAAAAUCAAGUCCUUCAAUAAGCUUCGCAGGUCCUUACAACUUUCCAACAAAGCCAACAGUCCCUCAUCAAUCACGCAGCAGCGACGAGAUCUCAUAACCGUACUCAAUGGUGUCCUCCUCUAGCAAAUUGUGUCAAAUUGAACUUCGGUGGUGCCGUUUUUCCGGAGUUGGGCAAGGCUGGUAUAGGUGUGGUUGUCCACGACUGCCAUGGAAAUGUCAUUGCUUCACUGUCUGAACAAGCUCCCUUGCCGUUUUCACCUGUCAUUGUGGAAGCCAUGGCUGCUGCAAGAGCGAUAACCUUCGCACAGGAACUUGGUCUUAACGAGUUUAUGAUUGAAGGAGAUUCGGAAGCAAUUAUAAACAUUCUCCAAAGCACAGAAGCCUCACUGACAACUUAUGGUCAUCUUCUUGAAUCUGCUAAAUCCACUCUAGUUACCAAUAAAUGUAUUGCUUUUACCCAUAUUCGUAGAAUUGGUAAUAGAUUAGCACACAACCUAGCUAAACAUGCUAGACAUGUUAAAGAUUUGUUAGUGUGGGUGGAGGAUAUUCCACUAUACCUUUAUGAUGUACUCUUUGCUGAUCCUGUCUGA